AUGCCACAACCCCUCCCUCCCUCUUCGAUCUCUCUCCCUCCUCAGCCGCCACAAACCCUAGCCCCCUUUCCUACGAUCCAGCCGUCGCUACCCCUCCUCCAUCCAACCUCCAUCGUCAGCCGCCGCCGCCGCUACGGCUCCUCCGUCCACCGACUCCGUCCGUGCAGGUGGCCAGUUUCCUUCCGCCUCGACCUUCUCCACGGUCUCCCCAGUUCACCCCCCAUCCCUUGCUGCCCGAGGUGCUCAUCUUCCCAGGUCGUGAGGAAGCCGCGUGGGGAUGGAACCACCACGUCGUGCCGCUGGGGGAAGCCUUGGAUCCACGCAGGGGGCCUCCCCGGGGGCGCAGAGGAGGGGUUGUGGAGGCGUGAGGCCAGAAGGACCCCUCUUGCGUCGCUCGUCUCCACCUCAUAUCCGGCAUCUUUGCUGCCGCCAUAG
rnacentral:rRNA from 1 species